GCAUUGAUGGUUCAGUGGUAGAAUUCUCACCUCACAUGUGAGAGACCUGGGUUUGAUGCCUGGCCAAUGCA
rfam:Loxodonta africana unplaced genomic scaffold scaffold_76, whole genome shotgun sequence.